GGAAGAAUUUGUAUUAACAUUAUUAUUUUCACUUAAUUCCUGUAGUAGUAUCUUUAGUCAUUUAUGAGCCAGAAUAUACAUAAAAUCUCUGAAAAUUAGGUUGUCACUUAAAUUAAUCAAAAAAGAAUCACCAGUUAAAAUGUAUUAAUACUGAUUUUGUUUUGGUCCUACCUGAUCAGAGAGUAAUCCGCAUCUACUCCAGUUAAACAGAGAGCGUCGGAGGGUGAUGAUGAGUUUCCAGUUAAGAUCCGAUUGAUAUGUUUUAUAAAUUCCAGGAAGAAGUAUUUACAGAGGAGGAUUGGUACAUCUGUGGCGAAGGUGUGGAGAGGUGUGGCCUGGGCAAAGGUGUCCAAAAUCCAUACAAAUGCUAUGAUGAAACAUGUUCCGUGCAAAUGUUCAGAUAUUUUCUCUCAUUAUGUGAAUAAUAUAUGCAGUCCUUGAAAGUUGCUGGUUUUGUUUACUGCUCUAGUCCCCCAAAUUAAGAAAAUCCGUUUUCUUCUGCUGCUACAUCUCUAACAGUGCGUAAAUGUGUAAAUAACCACCAGUAAAAUGAUAUAUUUCCGUCUCUGUUUGGAUCUAAUUUUUAUGCGGUCCUCCUCUGCGUCCUCCUGCUCCACACUGUGGCGAAGACAAUAAGAAGAGAGAAAAGAACAUCAGCUCUAUCUCCAACAGGUUUAAUAUACACGUACAAUAUACUAUAUCGGAGGUUGAAUAUGUUGUA